GAUGAACGCUGGCGGCGUGCCUAAUACAUGCAAGUCGAGCGAACAGACGCGGAGCUUGCUCCUCUGACGUUAGCGGCGGACGGGUGAGUAACACGUGGAUAACCUACCUAUAAGACUGGGAUCACUUCGUGAAACCGGAGCUAAUACCGGCUAACAUGUUGCACCGCAUGGUUCAACAGUGAAAGACGGUCUUGCUGUCACUUAUAGAUGGAUCCGCGCCGCAUUAGCUAGUUGGUAAGGUAACGGCUUACCAAGGCAGCGAUGCGUAGCCGACCUGAGAGGGUGAUCGGCCACACGGGAAGUGAGACACGGUCCAGACUCCUACGGGAGGCAGCAGUAGGGAAUCUUCCGCAAGGGGCGAAAGCCUGACGGAGGAACGCCGCGGGAGGGAAGAAGGUGUUCGGACCGGAAAACUCUGUUAGUAGGGAAGAACAAAUGUGUAAGUAACUAUGCACGUAUUGACGGUACCGAAUCAGAAAGCCACGGCUAACUACGUG
rnacentral:rRNA from 1 species